rnacentral:rRNA from 1 species
UACGAAGGGGGCUAGCGUUGCUCGGAAUUAUUGGGCGUAAAGAGCUCGUAGGCGGCUUGUCACGUCGGGUGUGAAAGCCCGGGGCUUAACCCCGGGUCUGCACUCGAUACGGGCUAGCUAGAGUGUGGUAGGGGAGAUCGGAAUUCCUGGUGUAGCGGUGAAAUGCGCAGAUAUCAGGAGGAACACCGGUGGCGAAGGCGGAUCUCUGGGCCAUUACUGACGCUGAGGAGCGAAAGCGUGGGGAGCGAACAGG